GCUUCCUUGGCUCAGUUGGCAGAGCGUAGGUCUCAUAUUUGCCUAUGAGCAGUCAAAUGACUGUGAAAUCCUAAGGUCGCAAGUUCGAGCCUUGCAGGGAGCA